rnacentral:rRNA from 1 species
GGUUAAUAUUCCUGUACUUGGUGUUACUGCGAAGGGGGGACGGAGAAGGCUAUGUUAGCCGGGCGACGGUUGUCCCGGUUUAAGCAUGUAGGCUGGUUAUCCAGGCAAAUCCGGAUAAUCAAGGCUGAGGUGUGAUGACGAGGCACUACGGUGCUGAAGUAACAAAUGCCCUGCUUCCAGGAAAAGCCUCUAAGCAUCAGGUAACAUCAAAUCG